UAGGUGCUGGCUGGAUCUUUUCUUGCAGAGAAAGGGAUUCUCUGCUGUAUGCCCUGACUGGGAGGUCUCCUGUCUCCAGCAUGGUCUUAGCAAAGCGUGAUGCUCUCAGGGCCUCCUGCUCCAGAGGCAGACUGUUCAGCACUGCUGGUCAGUGCAGUAAGAUCAAAAGCUCAAGGAUGAAGAAUCAGAGCUGAUGUCAAGCAAACAGCUGGUCCUCCAGCAUCUCGCCAUCCUGCCUCCUGCCAAAGCUCAUGUCAACAUGUUCUGCUCUGAAAGCUGCAUUGUGGUUUUGUUUGACAAGGAGUACAGAAGCAUGCUGAGUACUUCAUGAAGGAAAUAAGGAAAUUGUGCAAAUCAGCUCUUCUUGUACUACUUUCUGCCAAAGGAAGAGGCCUCUAGAUGUAUCAUGAGAUCUCAAUGGAGGACCUUGCUUGUUUUAGGUCCCAAAGGUGAACAAGAGUUGUUUUCUCAUCCUGACAGUUGACCUGAGCAGGUGCUGGGGAGCCCUGCACUGCUGUAUUUUCCCAUCUGGUUCUUUGGUUUUUUUAAAACAACAUCUGGCUGUCCUGCUCCUACACACCAUAAACCUGAUUCUAAGUCCUAUCUAAUUUCAGGGAACCCUUGUAACAGGUUGUCCAAG